UGGAAUUCCUGGUGGAGCGGUGGAAUGCGCAGAUAUCAGGAGGAACACCAGUGGCGAAGGCGGUUCUCUGGACCUUUCCUGACGCUGAGGAGCGAAAGCGUGGGGAGCGAACAGGCUUAGAUACCCUGGUAGUCCACGCUGUAAACGGUGGGUACUAGGUGUGGGGUCCAUUCCACAGAUUCUGUGCCGUAGCUAACGCAUUAAGUACCCCGCCUGGGGAGUACGGCCGCAAGGCUAAAACUCAAAGGAAUUGACGGGGCCCCGCACAAGCGGCGGAGCAUGCGGAUUAAUUCGAUGCAACGCGAAGAACCUUACCUGGGUUUGACAUGGAUCGGGAGCUUCCAGAGAUGGUUGUGCCUCUUUUGGGGUCGGUUCACAGGUGGUGCAUGGCUGUCGUCAGCUCGUGUCGUGAGAUGUUGGGUUAAGUCCCGCAACGAGCGCAACCCUCGUCCACUGUUGCCAGCAAUUCGGUUGGGGACUCAGUGGAGACCGCCGGGGUCAACUCGGAGGAAGGUGGGGAUGACGUCAAGUCAUCAUGCCCCUUAUGUCCAGGGCUUCACGCAUGCUACAA
rnacentral:rRNA from 1 species